GGCGACAUGGCCGAGCGGUCUAAGGCCUAGAAUCGGGAACUUUGUUCUAUAUCUAGUCUUUCUCAAAAAUGUUCUGCAUUCAAACCCACCUGAUAAUGUAGAGGCGGGAGAUCGAAUCUCCCUGUCAUCA